UUGUAGUAAUCGUAAACCUAUAAGGACUUUGAUUAGAAGGCCAUAUAUAUACAAAGAGAUGCAUAAGGAGGAAAUUUUGAUGUCAUUAAUGAGAAACACAUUUUUCUAGAGAAGAAUACUCUAGGUGAAUCAAUCAAUAAGAUUAAUUAAUUCAUCCCCUUGCUUGGAACUAAUAUUCAAUUUUCUACAUCUCUUCUCAAUCUCUUAAAAGUUUGUUAAAAGAUCUUUGCUUAGAAGCUUGUGUGGAUCACCAAAAGAGGUUGGAUUAGUAGCUUUAAAGUGCAUCAAUCAUCCUUGAAUAAUCAAGAAUCAACAAAGCAAGAAGCACUCCUUUGAUUGGCCAAAAACGUUUUUUGUAAGUCUUCUCCAUCUUUUGCUUGUUUUGUGUAUUAUAACUAUUUUACAUUAAUGAGAUCCUUAGUGGGAUUUGAAAAACUUUUGUUUUAUUCUAUUGCGCCUUUUUUUAUAUUUUUAGUAUCAAUUCCUAAUAGUGGUAUCAGAGUCUCAAUUGGUUAACUUAGUCAUAAUGAUUGCAUAAUUGUUAAUUGAUUAAAAGCAUGCAAAUCUGUAAUUUCUAGGUUGUUUUAGAGAUUUCGUUGGUUGCCAUAACAUAGGUCGAAUUUUUAGGUGAUUCUUGUUGCAUAUGUACCCUAAGGAUAAAACUUAUGAUCUGAAAGUUCUUAUAAUUUUGGAUCUUGUUUGAUUAUAGUUUGGGUGUUGAGAGUCCAUACCUUACAUAUAGACAACUUUUGAUGUGAUCGUCAAUACCCAAUCUCUAAUCAAAUUUGGAUGGCAAAUUGAUUGAAAUAAAUUCAUGGGUAAUUGUUACAGUAAACUUUCUUGAAUAUUUGAUGUUCAAGAUCCGUGCAAAACAACUUGGAAUUGGAUUCUUGAUGAUCAAAGCAAAACUAUGUAUAUACUACACAUUCUAAGAGUUUGGCAUAUGCAUGUGUAUAUGGGCUUUGAUUUGAUUUGUUUUUGGAACAACUAUGAAUAUGAUUUAGAAGAUGAAUUAAGAUUUCUGAAAAUUUAAGGUUUAAUCUUCAUGAAUACUAUAUAUGUGCAUAACAUACAAAUCAAGUGUUAAUUUGAUAAGCUAUGCGCAUAGUAUGGGUUGCUUAUGGAAUUCGGCAUGUGUGUGUAUUCUUGGUCUAAUGGCAAGUCUUUUGAUGAAAAACAUCAGAUCUAGAUCAUGCAUAAGAUAAGUUCUUAAAGCAAUAUUGAAGGUUGAUUUAAGUCUUGAUUAUGUUUCUUGUAUAGUUACCUUAUUUCUUGAUGUUUGCCAUGUGAAUCUUGAUUAUCUUGAAUUGUUUGAUAUCAAAUUUGAUUUUCUUGAUGAUGGAUCUUUGUAAACUCAAUUAAUUUUGGAAUUAAUGUGCCUAAUUAGCCUUGUUAGAUCUUUAAAUCUUGUUAAAUAAGGAGUGUCCUUAUUUGUAGAGAUUUCUAGAUAAAGACAAGAGUUACCUUAUCCUAGUUGGCAUAUGACUCCUCGUCAUAAGACAUAUCCUAGUUGUCUUAGGAUUAUAAUUAUUUAUUCUAAUAUGACUAGGAGAUUCAUUAAAAGGUUAGUUAUCUAGAUUAAGACAAGAGUUUGACUCUUGACCUAAAUUUUAGACAUGACCGAAAAUUACAAGAAUUAAAAGAAAAUUUUUAUUUUUUAGAUUUAAUUUAAUUAAUUAAAAUUCUCAUUAAUCCUAAUUAACCUAGGACUUAUGUCUUAGUAUCCUAGUAUGACUAGGUUGUUUGUCUUAAUUAAGACAAAAGUUUGACUUUAUGUCUUAAUGCUCGACUUUCUAUCCUAAAAGGACAUAAAAUCAAAAUAUAGGAUAUUCUAUAGGAAUUAAUUAUUAAUUAAAUAUGAUUUAGUUAAUUCCAGUUCUCUACAACUUACUACAAUUAAGUUUAAAUCUUGGUUUCCUAGUAUGACUAGGAUUAGUAACAUUUGUUUGGUUAAAAGUUGACUUUAUGUCCUAAUUUUUGUUUUGGCCAAAAAUUACACUCUAAAAUAAGGAAAUACUUUUUGGAUAUGAUUUAAUUAUUUUAAUUUUCCAUACCCCAUUUAGUCCUAAUUGCAUACAAUGAUCAAAUAACUUGAAUUAUGUUAUCUUGAUUCGUUUAUAUGCUUUAUAUAAUUUGAUUAUAUUUGGCAUGAUAGAUGGUUAUGGACUAUAGAGACCAAUGUGAUCGUGUUAAAUAGUUAAAUGUUUUGAUUUGAUAAUUUUGAAAUAAGUAAUGUGUUCCUUGUCUUUCUCUAAUUUCUUUGGAUUGUAAAAUUAUUUUUCAUCUAACUCUCCUUGAAUGGAAAUCGAGAUUUCUUUAAAUUUUAUUAACAAAUAUACCACUUUUACGAGAUUAUUUUCUCAUAUUAUACAAUUAAUCCAUUUAAGGGGUUGUUUUCUCAUACUCACAAAUAUACCAAAAUUACGGGAUUAUUUUCUCCGAUUUGAUAUUUGUAUGUUUAUGCCAAAGCAUAAGACCUUAAUCACCACUUAAUAAUAAAUCCCUCCUUCAAUAUUAAGUCACAUGUUAAGAACAUGAUUAAGUUACUUUCCAUAAUUAAAAUAGGAACAAGGGCCUUGUUAAUAGGUUAAUUUGUUGAGUCACUCAAGGUUGCCUAUUACAUGGGCAUGUCCUUUAUUUUAAUUAACAAGUCUUACUUAAAUAUCUUAUAUAAAUUGGAUGAGUCACCCAUAUUUAUAUAAACAUAGAGGUAUGAAUUAGGUGAAAAACAUCAAGAAGACGUCAUCCAUUACCUUUUUUUGCUGUAGAUGCACCGGAGGAGAUAGUGCAAGAGUACAAAAAACUUUAAGGAGACGUGAUAUGCCUGAUAUUACACAUGUUUGCAUGAUUUUGAGUUAUUUUAGAGAAAAUUAUGUGUUUUUAUAUUAGAAUCACCAUAUUUUAGUUUCCUUUAUAUCUAGGGUGUUUUUCUAGGUACAUCAUCAAAGUUAGAGAGAAAUUGGACCAAAAUCGGAAAUAAACGGUCAAAUCGGGAGCGUUAGACUGUUCAACACGCCUUGCCAACACGCCCGUGCUGAGGAGCAUGGUCAGGGUUAGAGGGCGUGCUGAAAUGCCUCACCUGUGGUGAGAAGAAGUGAUUUACAACACGGUUUUCGAGAGUGACGCGGUCUAGGAGCAUACCCAUACUGAGCAGCACGACCCAAAUCCAAGACGUGCUGAAGAAGGCCAAAAUGUACACUUUUAGAUUAACACAGCAUGGAUCCAUCCGUGCUGGUCAACAUGGCCCAAAUCCAGGCCGUGUUGGAUCCCGAAACCUAAUUUAAAAGAAGAAAAGGGAGAUAGAGAGAGAACUUUGGGGUAUUCAAGACAAACCUUGAGAGCAACCUUCCAGACGAUCAAGAAGAGAAAAAUGGAGACAAAUUCCAUUUCAACAUCAUCUAAAUAGUUGCUCUUGAGGAUUGGAUUGAAGAUUCAAAGGAAAGAAGAAAGAGAUCUUGAGCUGUAGAGAUUGAAUUCAAAGUUAUUCAAGAGGGGGAUAGCAUUUCACCGUUUGAGAAAAGGGUGUUCAUGUUCUUUUUUAUUCUUGUUUACUUUAUAUUCGAUUAUUGUAGUAGUUUAAUCAUGAACAUGUGUAACUAAUUCUAUUAAACCCAUUUGGGGGGGGUGAUCUUUAGCCAUGCUAGGCUGUUUUUGUGCUUAAUUGAUUGGAUUGUUGAUUUAAGAUUGUAAUUUUCAU
rnacentral:lncRNA from 1 species